rnacentral:lncRNA from 1 species
CCCCAUCCGCACUCAAACCCUAACCCUAGCCGCCAGAGCCCCUCCCUGGAGAAGACAGCCCAGCCGCCGGGGAGCCGACCGCCGCCACUCGCCACCACACCGGAGCAAUUUCUGACCGCUAAAUGAGGUAAAAAUUCUACCAUUUGCUCAGAAUUUGAUUUCAAAUCCACCCAUGGCCAAAUUGAAGAGAAAGAAAUGGCCAAUUGGCCGAAAAACGCUGCCAAAGCUCAGCGGGACCGACGCAGGGUGUUUCGAUUUUCGCCUCCAAUGAGGCCCUUUCUGAUUCUUGUUCGAUGUGAUUUUUCUACCGUUGUGAUC